rnacentral:lncRNA from 1 species
AUGUGUAUCCAAAUCACCUGGACCUCUUUUUUUAAUGCCGACUAUGUUUGGGUCUCUGGAAUACCUCAUAGAUGCUCAAAACCAGCAGCCUCAUGCAUUCCUCUCAAUGACUACCCCUCUAUCUGCCAAGGAACUUUCUGUCAAUGCCUCCAAUCCCCAGAGGAAAGACCACAUGAUCAAUCCUUUAUGAAGAAAUUCCAGCAUAAUCAGUCUGCAAAUACCAUUCUAAUAAGACAAAAAGGCAGCUGCAAUGAUUCAUUCCUCUGAGGCUGGAAAUGUUUGCAGAAUUCAACACUUGCAGAGAGAGAAUCCUGAGAGGAGGAAGAUAGAAUAUGCAACUCUAGCAGUUUUUGUGGCCUAGACUGGAAAAUAUCUCUGGCAACAUUUGGUGGCGAAAGAAGGCAUCACUAUAACAGCAGACCUUUCUUCUCAUUUUUGUCUAUGAAAUUAAAUCUGAGGCCUAAUUAGAAAAACAGUUGGAAUGGAAACUAGUCCUGCAACAGCUGGCAUGAUGUUUUGAAAGGGCUCUAGAAACAAGCAAGACAGGCUUCGAGUAAGCUAAUGGCUUUACACAUCAAAAAGGUGAGUGACCUACUUCCUAAUAAACCACCUGUUCAUGGGACGGUUGUAGAUAUU